CUCGUAGAGCUUCAGCGACGACUCCAGCUUCUUUAUCGACUGCUUCUCACGCUUCGCGAACUGCUUCGACUCCUUGCAUGGGGUGAGCCCCGAGAUGUCGGCGCCGGCGGGGAGAGGGGCGGAGAGGAGGAUGGAGGAGAGGGCCAGCGCGGCGGAGAACGCCUUCAGGUCGGAGGACACGUUGUUGUUGUUGUUGUUGUUGGUGGUGCUGCAGACGAUGGUGGUUGUGGCGGCGGACCUUAGCUUUGGGCUUAGUUUGGGGCGGAGGGCGGCGGGCUUGGAGAGGUUGGAGGGAAUGGUGAGAGACAUUGUUGGAUGCGAGGG
rnacentral:lncRNA from 1 species